rnacentral:rRNA from 1 species
GCUGUGCAAUACUCUGCGAUGACUUGUGGUAAGGAGUGAUAAGCUAAUCGAAUCUGGUAAUAGCUGGUUCUCUCCGAAAUAGCUUUAGGGCUAGCGUCGUGCGUUCCUUUUGGGGGUAGAGCUCUGGAUGGUCUAAAUAGGUCGAAAGACCGUUAGACCAAUCAAACUUCGAAUACCAAAAGCGAGCGCGGCAGUUAGACCGUGGGGGCUAAGCUCCAAAGGUCAAAAAGGGAAGAGCCUUUGAUCUCCAGUUAAGGUCCCAAAAUCUGCGCUCAGUACAUCACAAGGAAGUGGAAUCUCUUAGACAAUGAGGAUGUAGGCUUAGAAGCAGCCAUCAUUGAAAGAAAGCGUAACAGCUCACUCAUCGAGAGAUUCUGCACCGAAGAUGAUCGGGGUUAAGCGCAGUACCGAAACUGAGGGUGCCUUGUGAGGCGCGGUAGGAGAGUAUUCGCAUCUGCAGUGAAGCCAAAGGGGUGACCCAUGGUGGAGCGUUGCGAAGUAAGAAUGUUGGCACAAGUAACCACAAUGCGGGUGAGAAACCCGCACGCCGAAAGACUAAGGUUUCCUCCUCGAUGAUUGUCAGAGGAGGGUUAGUCGGGCCUAAGGGGAUGGCGAAAGCCGAACCUGAUGGACACAUGGUUAAUAUUCCAUGACCAAGGCGCGUUUCGAUGGAGUGACGAAGUCUAGUAUGUUUUGCGCAUUAUUGGAUUUGACGUUCGGGCUUCGAAGAUUAUCCUUAGGUAAAUCCGAGGGUAUGCCUUUAAUGGCGAAUCGAAGGAAGAGCGAAAAUGUUCGCCGCAAGGCGGAUAAAUGAAACAAAACAGACUUCCAAGAAAAACUUCUAAGAUUAAACGCGACUUGACCGUACCGUAAACCGACACAGGUAGUCAGCUCGAGUAGAGCAAGGCGAACGAAUGAGAGGUCUCCAAGGAACUCGGCAAAAAAGGAGGUUGCAACAAAAGUCUGCCUGGCGACUGUUUAUCAAAAACACAGCUCCCUGCGAACUCGUAAGAGGAUGUAUAGGGGGUGACACUUGACCAAUGCCAGAAGGUCAAAUAACGGCUGACUGUUAUAAGCCCUGGUGAAUGUCGGCGAUAACUAUAGUGUCGGGUAAGUUCCGACGCGUUGAAUAGUGUAACGUCUGGGCAACUGUCUCGGAGACCCGUUCGGUGAAAAUACAAUACCGGUGAAGAUGCCGGUUACCUGCAGCUAGACGAAAAGACCCCGGAAGCUUUACUGCAACUUGGUAUUGCCUGUAUGUUUUUGCUGCGUAGCGUAGAUGGUAGACUUUGAAGCUGGGAUCUCGGUUCUAGUGGAGUCAACAAUGAAACACCAUUCUUUAAAAAUAUACAUGCUAACCUUACCAUUGUGAUUUUCCAGCGUCCUUCGGGGAAGCUGGUGAGAGACCGUACCUGGCGGGCAGUUUUAGUGGGGCGCUACCCUAAAGAGUAACGAAGGGGUCCAUCAAGGUCAGCUAGGCGCGAAUGGAAACCGUGCCGAUAGUGCAAUGGCAUAAGCUGGCCUCACUGUAAGACGUAAGUGUCAAGCAGACGCGAAAGCGGGGCAUAGUGAACCGACCAUACGCAUUAGAUGCGGUGGAAGAUUAUCUGCUAAAAGCUACUCCGGGGAUAACAGGCUAGUUCCGCCUAAGAGUCAACAUAUCGACGGCGGAGUUCGGCACCUCGAGGUCGGCUCAACACAUCCCGGGGCUGUAGAAGGUCCCAAGGGUUUGGCUGUUCGCCAAUUAAAGUGUUACGUGAGCUGGGUAAACGGAUGUGAGCAGACCGUUGUAAAACAGGUUGGUCUCCUAUCUGCUGCAGGCGUUGAUUCUUGAAGGGAUUCGUUCUUAGUACGAGAGGACCAGAACGAACGGACCUCUGGUGUACCUGCUGUCCUGCCAAGGGCACCGCAGGGUAGCUAUGUUCGGAACGGAUAACCGCUGAAAGCAUCUAAGCGGGAAACCGCCCCUAAGAUGAGGAAUCGUUAUAGACCCCUAGGAGAUGACUAGGUUGAUAGGCGCUAGGUGUACGCACAGUAAUGUGUUUAGCCGAGGCGUACUAAUUGGUCGA